rnacentral:rRNA from 1 species
GGGAAUAUUGCAAAAUGGGCGAAAGCCCGAUGCAGCAACGCCGCGUGGGCGAUGAAGGCCUUCGGGUCGUAAAGCCCUUUUUGGGGGGAUGAGCAAUGACAGUACCCUCAGAAUAAGCCUCGGCUAACUACGUGCCAGCAGCCGCGGUAAAACGUCGGGGGCGAGCGUUAUCCGGAUUUAUUGGGCGUAAAGAGCGUGCAGGCGGAUUGGAGAGUUGGAUGUGAAAGCUCCCGGCUUAACUGGGGGAGGUCGUUCAAUACUUCCAGUCUUGAGUGCAGGAGAGGGCAGGGGAAUUUCGGGUGUUGUGGUCAAAUGCGUAGAUAGCCGGAGGAACACCAGUGGCGAA